AUGGAGGAAUCAGGAAAAAAGAUACAAGAGGUAAAUAAAUUAGAAAGAGGGAUAAGUAAGUUGUUUGACAGUAAUGAGGAUGUGCAUGAAGGAAAGGAGUUAUUUGAUAAUGGAAAAUGGGAACAGGGCAGAGAAAAGGGGACACUCAGACCACUGGCUGCACAAUUCCCAAUUUUAAUCAAGGGUGAGCAGGGACAGUAUGUCCCCUGGGCUUCACAGGACCUCGAGGGGCUGGUUAAUCGCCUCCCAGAUAUUCAUGAGGGGGCUGGAAAGUGGAUCAGGGUGUUUGAGGAAGAAACUAUGGGCAAACUUUUGGCUGUGAGAGACAUUAAAGCUUUGCUGGCUAAAAUUGUAGGAGGGGCAAAGAUGGAUGAAAUUAUUCAAAUAACUACUCUAGACAGAGCAGUGAGCUCUCAUAAUAUGGAUGGAAUUGUUUUUGAUGCAUUCGGUCCAGCAGUGUGUCAGGCACUGCAUACGGAGUACCAGAUCAUACUGAAUCCUAAAUCUUUGAAGAGACAAGAGCUGGGAAACACAGAAAAUCCAACCACAUAUGUUCAGAAACAGCUGACAAGGUGGAAGCAAGAAACUGAGGGGGAUCCAGAAAGAGACCCAUUAAUGGCAACAUUGUUUAGCACACUUACAGCAGUCCCUCCAAACGCACACCCGAGCCCUGUGCCCAUAAUUAAUGUUUAUACUCAACAGCCAGGACCAACGGGAUGGUGAAAAAAACCCAUACAGCGAGGUCAGAGAGAAUCAUGACAUUGUGAAUCCAGAUUAUAACACUUUUCUGGAAGCUGGACGAAAGCCAUGGGCAAGGAGCAGGACCUUCUUCUGGCUGUGAAGAAUGGAGACCUUCCUUUGGCUCAUAAACUUCUGGCCAAGAUCAAGACCAACCGAAAUAGUAAGUAGGCUGCUUUUUUGGCAUACUUAUUUCUACUUUUGGCAGCGGCCAUUUGAAAACAUUAUCAGCCACAGAUCAGAUUAUACAUAAAUUAAGUGUUUUCUGAAAGUUUCUGUUUCACAUUUAAAAUAUUUAAAAUGAAAUAAUCUGCAACCUGAUACCCUCUAUGCUCUU
ensembl:lncRNA